rnacentral:rRNA from 1 species
UGCGUAGACGGUUAUGUAAGUCGGGUGUGAAAGCCCCGGGCUCAACCUGGGAAUGCCAUUCGAGACUGCAUAGCUAGGGUGCGGAAGAGGGAAGCGGAAUUUCAGGUGUAGCGGUGAAAUGCGUAGAUAUCUGAAGGAACACCAGUGGCGAAAGCGGCUUCCUGGUCCAGCACCGACGUUCAGGCACGAAAGCGUGGGGAGCAGACAGGAUUAGAUACCCUGGUAGUCCACGCCAUAAACGAUGAGAACUAGACGUUGAGAGGGUAAGCCUCCCAGUGUCGUAGCUAACGCGCUAAGUUCUCCGCCUGGGGAGUACGGCCGCAGGGUUGAA